AAAAAAAUAAACCAUGGAUUUUCGUGUCCAACUUUGACUGUCCGUCUUAUAUGAAAUUUUUUUAUAAUUCGUAUUUUUAUUGUUGUUAGAUGAUAAAACAUGAUUAAUAUUUUAUGCGUGACUUGUCUUUUUAAUUUUUUUCAUAAUUUUUUCAAAUAAGACGGACGGUCAAAUGUUGGACACGGAAACCAGGGUUUGUCUUUUU
rnacentral:pre_miRNA from 1 species